rnacentral:rRNA from 1 species
GACGAGCCACCCGAACGUUAUUCGGAAUUACUGGGCUUAAAGGGUGCGUAGGCGGUGUAGCAAGUCGGGAGUGAAAUACCCCAGCUUAACUGAGGAAUUGCUUUCGAUACUGCUGCGCUUGAGUGAGACAGAGGUAAGCGGAACUUAGGGUGGAGCGGUGAAAUGCGUUGAUAUCCUAAGGAACACCGGUGGCGAAGGCGGCUUACUGGGUCUCAACUGACGCUGAGGCACGAAAGCCAGGGUAGCAAACGGG